rfam:TPA: Bos taurus chromosome 11, whole genome shotgun sequence.
GGCUCCGGCCAUAUCAGCCUGAAGGUGCCCGAUCUCGUCUGAUCUCAGAAGCUAAGCAGGGUCGGGCCUGCUUAGUAUCUUAAAAAAAAAAAAAAAAAAAGUUAAUAAAGGUUUGUAGUGUUUUAUUGGGAGAAGGCAAUGGCACCA